GCCGGCCCUCGCGUCGUGUUUUUAUUUAUUUACCCCACUAGUAACCCAAAGGCUCCGGAGGUUACUGCAGGCUGCCUUGGGAAGCCGAUGAGCUGCGUCACAGGCUCAGGAGUUAUCUUCCAGCACUUGGAGGGUGAUGCUGUUUGCUCCCCUGUCUGUCAUUUUCUGGUGUGUCAGUAGUUCACAGUCUGCUGUGGGAUAUGGAGUUUUCAAUAUUUUAGAAGAAUUUGGGGAUUAUUAUUUAUUUCAGGCUGAGUAAGCAUCCACAGGUACAUUUUUCAGGUAAAGUAAAGGUACAUGGGACAGUAAAUGCCAUAUGUAAAGUAGAGUGCUGUGUAGUACAUAUCUAGGUUGGCUGACACAAGAACAAAGUAACAUGCAGUGCACUGAGCUGUUUCCUGCAGUUUUUCAGUUACUGGUGAUUUUAGGAACAGAAAAGUAUCGAAUAUUCAUCAGAACCAAGGCAUUCAUUACUUCCAAGAUAAGAUCACUUAGGUUCAAGUAACUUUGUAGCAUUUUGUGCAAUCUGACAGGGAAAAACCAGGUUUGUAAAUUUCUAAACAAAACCUUGUUCACGACAAGCUCCUGACCCUCCUGAGAAUUUCAAGAAUGUGUGCUAUGCUCUGUUUUACCACAGGUCAUGUUCUUUGUUGCAGGUGGACAAACUUCUGAUUUUAAUACAGCUUAACAGGAUAGUCGUGUCCCACGAUGGCUGACAUUUAAUGCACAAACCAUAAACAAGGAGCCAGCAGUUGUGUUGUUCCACAAAAAGUCUCUCUGUUAAGAAGUGGAAAUACCAAGUUCCAGUCUAAUAUAUGUUUUAAACUCUCAAGCUUUUGGGGCAGAACAAUAAUGUGCCUGUUUUGGUGUCAAACAGUUCUAGUGCAAAGUAAAAGUGCAUUUCUUAGGAAAGAAGUAAUCUAGACAGAAAACUUCAUCCCAGUAACUCACCCUUGAACCCCAGAGCAAAAACAUCAGUAAAAACCUAAACAAAAGUCAUAUGGAAUGUUUUAGAGCUCCAUAAAUUGUCCAUGUCUCUCUAAUGGUUUCACCACAGAACAGCCUAAUCCAUAAAAUUUGGGGUUUUUGCUAAUUCUGUAGUGUUUGCUCUUAAAGGCAAUACUUUGGUGUAAAAUGUCUCAUUGUUCACUAACAGUUUAAAUUAGAGAAAGGAAAUAAGAAGAAAUGAAAGUUUGAAAAUGAGAGAGCAACAACAUUCUAAAAACUCAGAAAGAAAAUUACAAAAACUUUAAAAAUUUAUUCUAAAUGGCAUCUUAAACGUCUUUCCCCUUUCUGCAAGAUUACUAUAAAGAAAAGGUAGCUUUCAAAUAUAAAAACUUAUUGGCAAAGGAAAUUUUCUGCUGUGUGAGAUCUCAGUUGUGAAAACUCCUUGGCUUCAUCUUGCAUUAAAAGUGAAUCACAAGGAGCAGCAAGAAAGAAAGGGAAGCAGUGCUUUCUGCUUAUGGAUUGUUUUCCUCCUUCAGCUGCAAAUUCCCGUUCUGCAUUUCAGUGAAUUUAUUCUCCCUGCCUGUCCUCACUGUUGUUGCAUUGGAAUAAAAUAUUUUGCAUCAGAAGGGAUGCAUGGCCUGUCCUCAGCCUUGCAGCACAGCAGAGUGUGUGUGCAGGCAGAGCCUCGGGGUACACUGGGGGGUUGGAGCUGCUCAGGUGUGUGCUGGGGGUGUUGUGGGGUGCAAAUCUCCCUAGGCCUCCCCACAAUGCUGGGGAAAUGCUCCUCUCUCACUCCCUGCUCCUGGUUCUUGCACGGAGCCAGGCACAAGUGGGAUGAUGCCCAGGAUGCCCUUUUCAUGUUUUCUCUGUGAGUGGGACACAUUCCAUUUGUGUUUCAACCAGUGAAGAGAACAUCAUGUUUUAUAAGUAAGACUUACACUGCUGAGGUUUUGUAGGACAGAUAUGAUAAUUUAUUACCCUAAGUACUGUUGUCUACUUAGUCUGUGUAAAUAUAGUUGAUGAAGUAGUAAAUUUUCUCUUUUUCUCUUUCAUUUGCUUGUGACACCAGGGCUGGGUCUCUGUUGCUCUGCUGUUGGCAGUUCUGUUAUACAAAUGUAUAUAUAUGUUUCUGUUAUAAAUGUUAUAUAUAUAAAUGUUUUAUAUAUGUUUCUGGCCCCUCUUUUCACACAGUAGAUUACUGAUGUAUUCCCACAGCUUAUUUGGGCUGCAGUCACUCCUUUAAACUUCCCACAGAAGAAGUCUUAGCUCUUCAGUACUUUUCUUUUUCCCUUGUUGGCUGAGUAUCCUCAGCAAAAGAUUUAUUGCUGCAGUUCAGAUGAGGGAGAAGUGCAGCCAGUGCUCCCAGUCAGUGCAUUUCCUGUUAUUGUUCCAGGCUGAAUUAGAGUCCAGGGAGUCCUGCAAAUCUGAGUGACUCACAGAGCUUGUAUUUUAUCUUUACAGUUUUCCACUCAAAACAAUUGCCAGAUAUUCCUGGUUUCAUGAGCUGUUUUGCAAAUGACACACUUCUGUUGGUUUGUUUGCAGAUGCUUUCCUUGUUUUGUAAUGGGAGGCAAUUUCUGGGCUGUUGAUUAAUAAUUGCAUUGUUAUCUAUACCCUAAAUUUCAGGAUAAUGGCUGUAAUUCUACAGACUGUUCUAGAUAGGACAAAAUAUCCUGGUCAUAACUUCCUUAAUAACUUAAUGAACUUUUAUUUUGCAUUUCAAUUAUUAAAAUAAAAUCCAAGGGACAGGGGAUGCUAGAACUUUGAAAUGCUGACAUUUUAUUUGAAAAACCCUUUUAUUUCACAGGUGGCAUUACUUGAGCAUUUUCCCCAUUUGUAUAAAUAUGGUAUAAACUGCUCAGGGUCUCUAGUUACCUUCCCUGGCAGUUGUUCUGCUCUUUGGAGGGAUCAGCAGCCUUCCCUAGGAGUUCCAGCUUGCACUGUGCUCUCUCUGCACUGAUGCUGCAGCCACAGGAGAUUGUGGAAGGGUGGCAAGUUUUUCUAGGAAGACAUUGCCUACCAGCUUCAAACAUGUAAAUUGCUGGAAUUUGCAUCAAAAUAUGACAGCUCUUCUCUGAUGAAGCUUUCUCCAGGAUGUAUCUUGUCCAAGAGUAUUCAGAGACACAAACCAUGAGUACUGAACUUGUGUCAUGUGCUAAAUUGUGCCUCUGUCAGUUGUAGUCAAGAAUCCAUGAUGUGCUCCUGCUUUGAAAUGGAGUUCUGAGGUAGAGCCACCCAUUCUGGAUGGCCUUCUGCAAGGGGUGAGGAGGAGUCACUGUUACAUCAUGACUAAGGAAAUAAACUGGAUGAGCUCCUCACCUCUUUUUGGCCUC